rnacentral:lncRNA from 1 species
CAGACUUGCAUGGUAGGCCUGUACUGAGAAGUAAAGCUGAAAUGCCCCCCUGGCCGGUAUGCGAUGCUGCUGUGGGAUUCCAAGCGCAGGAUGAUUAGUGUAACUAGUGGCAACCCUCGGAAUAAUGUUCUAACAACUUCUUUGUCAUACAUCAAAAUGGAAAUGAAGAUAUACCAGAUGGUCCCUCUGAAUGGCGGCACAACCUUGGCAGGCUGGAGGAAUGGACCAACAGGAACCUCACAAAUUUCAACAAAAGGGAAAGCAAAGUCCUGCACCUGGAGAGGAAUAGCCUCUUCACCAAGACAGGCUGGGAGCUGACCGGCUGGAUGACAAAAUUGCAGAAGGCGGCCUAUGAGUCCUGGUAGACAACAAGGUGGCUAUGGGCCAGCAACGUACCCUUGUGGCAAGGGCAGCCAAC